CAUCAUGUUACCUGCUAGGGAACACACUCUCUCAGCUGCUGCGACACUGGCUGGAAUGCUACUGCCGAAAGAUCUAAAAUAUUCGGCUCGCAAAAUUCUAAAAUUUUAGAAAUGGAAGGCAAUACAAGGCAUAGUGAUGUCUCGCUUAAUAUUGCAUCCACACAACCCCAGUUAUCCAGAAUGGGUUUCAGCAUUUUGUAGUUGGAGUUCCAUCUAGUCGGACAUGCGCUUUUUAAAGUCGUUUCUAAAGUGCUGCAAAUUUGCAAAUCUUGUUGAGUUCAAUGGCCUUGUCAAAUAUUUUUCUAAAACAUUUGACAACAGGUGACUGCUAUAAUUAAAACGGGUGUUGCCCUCUAAAGCCUUUUUAAUAUUUGCUCCCCUGGCAGUCACAAACCUAACACUAUCAAUGUUCUCAACAUCGAAUUCCGAAAAUAAGCACUUCAUUUUCAUUAAAAUGUUUUCUUUCAAAAUCUUCCAGAAGAUCUACCAGAACAUUUAAUGUGGAUGUAUUUACAUCUAUAUGGAUUUCAGUCUCACUUAAUAUUGCAUCCACACAACCCCAGUUAUCCAGAAUGGGUUUCAGCAUUUUGUAGUUGGAGGUUCAUCUAGUCGGACAUGUGCUUUUCAAAGUCGAUUCUAAAGUGAUGCAAAUUUGCAAAUUUUGUUGAGUUCAAUGGCGUUGUCAAAUAUUUUUCUAAAACAUUUGGCAACAGGUGACUGCUACAAUUUAAACGGGUGUUUCCCUCUAAAGCGUUUUUAAUAUUUGCUCCAUUGGCAGCCACAAACUUAACAUUAUCAAUGUUCUCAACAUCGAAUUCCGAAAAUAAUCACUAAAUUUUCAUUAAAAUGUUUUCGACAGUUGAUUUUUGAAAAUCGAUCGAUUUGAGUGGAAAGUGAUGCCCAUUCUUUGGACAUACUCGUCAGUCCACAUGUCAACGAUCGCACUUGCUCCUCCACUAUCAACAGCUUCUUUUAUCUCGGUCGAGAUUAGAGUCCUCUUUUUAUCUGCAUCCGAUUUGGCUUUCCGACGUUAAUGCUGUUGGAAGGGUAGUAAGUCAUAAUUUUUAAAUCCGGCAGAAAACGGCCGACAAUCUUGCACAACCCAUUGGAUGCAUCGGGAAAUAUUUUCAAUAUUCGAACAUACUUUUACACACCUUAAAUAAUAAUCUUGAUGCUUAUUUUUUUUUUAAGUGCGACAAACGACAAAAAAAGCGAUAUCUUAUGUGAAAAAAUAUCACGAUCUAAAUAUUUAUUUUUAUUAAAGAAUAUCGAUAUAUUGAUAUUUUGAUAUACUUUUCACAUCCCUAAUUCUUCGUAAUUUCCCUUAGCACAGAAGCUUUGAGAGCACUAAGAGUGACUGCCGAUAAGAAUCUGAAUACAAGCUAUGAGCAAAGGAAUUUCCUUUUAUUACGGUGAAGAAAAUACAGCUAAAUAACUAGUGAUAAACACACCUAAUAAAUUUCUGAUAUCCUGAUUGACAAAAUACAAUAAAUAUGCCAUCUAAAAUUUGGUUUUUCGACACAUUUUGGGCCAAUCACAUUCUUUAGACGGAGGAAAUUUGGCUUUUUAUAGCAUAUACAUAUACAUAUAUACAUUAUUUAUACAUAUAUAAAUUAACAAAGCUUUUACAUUUUACAUGAACAUGAACAUUGCAAAAAAAUGGAACUUUAACACCACUUUAAUCUGAUUAACUUUUAUAGAAUUGGUUGCCAACCCCUUUGGUUGUCAAAACCUUUCCUUUAGUGUACUGCAUUUUAUGUUCGAGCGAUCGCAGCAGAAUUGUUGUAUAGUAGUAUAGUUCGUUCGUCACUAUGUCGGCUGCAGUUAACCAAAUUUUUUUUUCCAAACUAUAAUAAUGAACAAGUUUAUUAUCUAAGCAAUUUGGAGAUAAAAUAUUAAAAAAAUGUAUUUCUCAUUCUGGCAAUAUUUCUGUAUUAGUUAUUAUCAUUGCUCACAGGAAAUAUGUUGAGUAACACAGUGAAGUUAUUGAGUCACAUGAGCUUACAAAUCAUUUGAGACCUCUGAUUCAUACAUACAUGUGGAAUGUACGAGGACUAAUAAAAUUACUGAGCACAACUUUUUGUUUUAA